rnacentral:rRNA from 1 species
UACGUAGGGUGCGAGCGUUAAUCGGAAUUACUGGGCGUAAAGCGUGCGCAGGCGGUUUUGUAAGCCAGAUGUGAAAUCCCCGGGCUUAACCUGGGAAUGGCAUUUGGGACUGCAAGGCUGGAGUACGGCAGAGGAGACUGGAAUUCCUGGUGUAGCAGUGAAAUGCGCAGAUAUCAGGAAGAACACCCGUGGCUAAGGCGGCUCUCUAGUACGGUACUGACGCUGAGACGCGAAAGCGUGGGGAGCGAACAGG